rnacentral:rRNA from 1 species
AUUGAACGCUGGCGGCAGGCCUAACACAUGCAAGUCGAGCGAGCGGCGGACGGGUGAGUAAUGUAUGGGGACUGCCCGAUAGAGGGGGAUAACUUCUGGAAACGGUAGCUAAUAUCGCAUACUUUCGGAGAAUCCAUAUGUGAUUGGCUAGUAGGUUGGGUAAUGGCUCACCUAGGCGACGAUCUCUAGCUGGUCUGAGAGGAUGAUCAGCCACACUGGAACUGAGACACGGCCCAGACUCCUACGGAGGCAGCAGUGGGGAAUCUUGCACAAUGGACGCAAGCCUGAUGCAGCCAUGCCGCGUGUGUGAAGAAGGCCCUCGGGUUGUAAAGUACUUUCAGUCGGGAGGCGUUACCGACAGAAGAAGCACCGGCUAACUCCGUGCCAGCAGCCGCGGUAAUUC